rnacentral:rRNA from 1 species
UUUGAUCCUGGCUCAGGAUGAACGCUGGCGGCGUGCCUAACACAUGCAAGUCGAACGGACUGCCUGAAUUUUGCUUGCAAAAUUUUGGCAGUUAGUGGCAAACGGGUGAGUAAUACACAGGUAACCUGCCGUCCAGAUGGGGACAACCCCGAGAAAUCGGGGCUAAUACCCAAUGGUAAUCGGUUGCCGGAAGGCGUCUGAUUUAAAGGGCUUCGAUUCGUCGGAGUUCCGCUGGACGAGGGGCCUGUGGCUUAUCAGCUUGUUGGCGAGGUAACGGCUCACCAAGGCUCUUGACGAGUAGCCGGGCUGAAAGGCUGAACGGCCACACUGGAACUGAGACACGGUCCAGACUCCUACGGGAGGCAGCAGUGGGGAAUAUUGGGCAAUGGGGGAAACCCUGACCCAGCGACGCCGCGUGGAGGACGAAGGCCCUCGGGUCGUAAACUCCUUUUAGGGUGAAGAACUUCGAUCGAUCCCAGAAUAAGCACUGGCUAACUCCGUGCCAGCAGCCGCGGUAAUACGGAGAGUGCGAGCGUUAUCCGGAUUUACUAGGCGUAAAGGGAACGUAGGCGUCCUUGCAAGUUCUCUGUCAAAUCUCCCCGCUUAACGGGGAAUUCGCAGGGAAAACUGUGAGGAUUGAGUUAAAGAGGGGAGAGUGGAAUUCCCGGUGGAGCGGUGAAAUGUGUAGAUAUCGGGAAGAAUACCGAUGGCGAAGGCAACUCUCUGGCUUUAUACUGACGCUGAUGUUCGAAAGCGUGGGGAGCGAACAGGAUUAGAGACCCUGGUAGUCCACGCCCUAAACGAUGAAUACUAGAUGUCGAUGGUAACCAUUCCAUCGGUAUCGCAGCUAACGCGUUAAGUAUUCCGCCUGGGGACUACGGUCGCAAGGCUAAAACUCAAAGGAAUUGACGGGGACCCGCACAAGCGGUGGAGCAUGUGGUUCAAUUCGAUGCAACGCGAAGAACCUUACCUGGGUUUGACAUGCCGGUGACAGUUCUGGAAACAGAAUCUUCCGGGGUAACCUGGACGCCGGUACAGGUGCUGCAUGGUUGUCGUCAGCUCGUGCCGUGAGGUGUUGGCUUAAGUGCCCUAACGAGCGCAACCCCCGCUUUUAGUUAUUGGAUUGUCCUUCAGGACUUUCCUCACUGAAAGGACUGCCCGAUAAGGGAGGAAGGAGGGGAUGACGUCAAAUCAUCAUGGCCCUUACGCCCAGGGCGACACACGUGCUACAAUGGUUGCCAUAACGGGUUUGCUAAACCGCGAGGUGGAGCCAAUCCCUUAAAAGCAACCCCAGUUCGGAUUGGAGGCUGCAACUCGCCUCCAUGAAGAUGGAAUCGCUAGUAAUCGCGCAUCAGCCAUGGCGCGGUGAAUACGUUCCCGGGUCUUGUACACACCGCCCGUCACACCACGAAAGCUGGUUGUA